ACACACACAAGUUCAAAUCUUAAACUACGCCUUGCUCAGACAGUUACUUUUCCACUACACACAUACAUUGUUUAUCCUAUUCUGCAACAUGUUUCAUCAUUUUCUGCAAGCCUAACUGUAACGGCUGUCUUCGUGAAGAGAGGACCAAGGCGCAGCGGGUUGCGUGCUCAUCAUUAUAUUUAUUUUAAAUAAAGACUGUGAACACGGGAAAGACAAGCAACGACAGGAACCAGUUUAGCAGGCUAUACACGUAACAGCAGUGCUACAGACAACUACCCACAAAUAACAAACAAAACACAUCCCUAAUUAUAGGACUCUCAAUCAAAGGCAACUACAAACACCUGCCUCCAAUUGAAAGUCCAACACCCAAUUACCUAACAUAGAAAAUACUAAACUAGAAAGAACAUAGAAAUACAAAAACAUAGAACAUAACCCAAAACCCGGAAAUAAUAAAUCAAACACCCUACUAAACAAACCACCACCCCGAACCACAUAAAACAAAUACCCCCUGCCACGUCCUGACCAAACCACAAUCACAAAUAACCCCUAUUACUGGUCAGGACGUGACACUAACAAUGUUAUUGGUUUCACAGUAGCACAGCUUGUCUAUCGAUUGCUCCUCCUAUCCUUUGUUUCACACUUACGCCCUGCUUCCAUAGCUAAACAGGAACAAAAAAAUGUCCUGGUUCUAAUUCUGACUAAAACUACACGCAUCAGAUUAUAGUUUUAUGAUUCUAAUACAUUUCACACAGUUAUACAGUUUCAGGGUGAAAUAUCUUAGUCAUUACUUUAAACAUACAAAUUCUUCUAUCAUCUUGGCGCACACGUUUUAUACAUUUGUCCUCCUCACGUCAUCCUCAUAGUAACUCCUCUUAAUGGCUCAUCACCUGUGGCAUUUAGCCACCGUUAUCUCAUUGCCUUCGUAUUAGAACAUGGAACCUGUAGAGCCACAGAAAUACUUUCAUGCAUGUAGGACCAUAGCAACAGACCUUUUUAUUUUAUUUUGAUUUUAUUAUUGUGACUAUUUUUUUUUUACUUGUUCACAUGAUUAAGCAUGUAUUUAAUAUAGCAAUAAUGACAUUAACUUAUUUAGUGAGCUGUCUUUUAGCCAAGAUAUGAAAUGUAAUCAUAAAUGACUGUAGCGCAUAAGACACACACAACAAAUCAAAGUUUAUUUGUCACGUGUGCUGAAUACAACAGGUGUAGUAGACCUUACAGUGAAAUGCUGAAUACAACAAGUGUAGUAGACCUCACAGUGAAAU
rnacentral:lncRNA from 1 species